rnacentral:misc_RNA from 1 species
AUUUGUUCUCCUUGGGACCUUUUGAUUUGUGACAGGUAUAUUAAUCGCAGGCUUGUGCAGAGAGUCUAUGACAGAGCUCUGGCAAUUGGAUUAAAAGGUUAUGCCAAGAUGCAUCAGACAGUAAUGUCUCGGUUGGCAGAUUGGGAAGGCAUUGUUAAGGCACGUUCUGUCAGAGAUUUUGACCACAGUUCUACUCGUGUUCUUGCUGA